rnacentral:snoRNA from 1 species
UGGAGUAGUGAUGAGAAUGUGUCUGAAACAAAGUUUUAUGAUUAUUAUACUUUGGUACCCUUGAGGCCCAAU